GAUGAACGCUGGCGGCGUGCCUAAUACAUGCAAGUCGAGCGAACAGACGAGGAGCUUGCUCCUCUGACGUUAGCGGCGGACGGGUGAGUAACACGUGGAUAACCUACCUAUAAGACUGGGAUAACUUCGGGAAACCGGAGCUAAUACCGGAUAAUAUAUUGAACCGCAUGGUUCAAUAGUGAAAGACGGUUUUGCUGUCACUUAUAGAUGGAUCCGCGCCGCAUUAGCUAGUUGGUAAGGUAACGGCUUACCAAGGCAACGAUGCGUAGCCGACCUGAGAGGGUGAUCGGCCACACUGGAGCUGAGACACGGUCCAGACUCCUACGGGAGGCAACAGAAGGGAAUCUUCCGCAAUGGGCGAAAGCCUGACGGAGCAACGCCGCGUGAGUGAUGAAGGUCUUCGGAUCGUAAAACUCUGUUAUUAGGGAAGAACAAAUGUGUAAGUAACUAUGCACGUCUUGACGGUACCUAAUCAGAAAGCCACGGCUAACUACGUG
rnacentral:rRNA from 1 species